AUACGUAGGGUGCAAGCGUUAAUCGGAAUUACUGGGCGUAAAGCGUGCGCAGGCGGUUAUGCAAGACAGAGGUGAAAUCCCCGGGCUCAACCUGGGAACUGCCUUUGUGACUGCAUGGCUAGAGUACGGUAGAGGGGGAUGGGAUUCCGCGUGUAGCAGUGAAAUGCGUAGAUAUGCGGAGGAACACCGAUGGCGAAGGCAAUCCCCUGGACCUGUACUGACGCUCAUGCACGAAAGCGUGGGGAGC
rnacentral:rRNA from 1 species